GACGAACGCUGGCGGCGUGCUUAACACAUGCAAGUCGAACGGAAAGGCCCUGCUUUUGUGGGGUGCUCGAGUGGCGAACGGGUGAGUAACACGUGAGUAACCUGCCCUUGACUUUGGGAUAACUUCAGGAAACUGGGGCUAAUACCGGAUAGGAGCUCCUGCUGCAUGGUGGGGGUUGGAAAGUUUCGGCGGUUGGUGAUGGACUCGCGGCUUAUCAGCUUGUUGGUGGGGUAGUGGCUUACCAAGGCUUUGACGGGUAGCCGGCCUGAGAGGGUGACCGGCCACAUUGGGACUUGGGAUAAGGCCCAGACUCCUACGGGAGGCAGCAGUGGGGAAUAUUGCACAAUGGGCGGAAGCCUGAUGCAGCAACGCCGCGUGCGGGAUGACGGCCUUCGGGUUGUAAACCGCUUUCGCCUGUGACGAAGCGUGAGUGACGGUAAUGGGUAAAGAAGCACCGGCUAACUACGUG
rnacentral:rRNA from 1 species